rnacentral:rRNA from 1 species
UACGAAGGGGGCUAGCGUUGUUCGGAUUUACUGGGCGUAAAGCGCACGUAGGCGGAUCGUUAAGUCGGGGGUGAAAUCCUGGGGCUCAACCCCAGAACUGCCUUCGAUACUGGCGAUCUCGAGUCCGGAAGAGGUGAGUGGAACUCCUAGUGUAGAGGUGAAAUUCGUAGAUAUCGGGAGGAACACCGGUGGCGAAGGCGGCGACCUGGGUAGAUACUGACGCUGAGGUGCGAAAGCGUGGGGAGCAAACAGG